CCUACGGGAGGCAGCAGUGGGGGAUAUUGCACAAUGGGGGAAACCCUGAUGCAGCGACGCCGCGUGGGUGAAGAAGCACCUCGUUACGUAAAGCCCUGUCAGCAGGGAAGAAAAUGACGGUACCUGAGUAAGAAGCCCCGGCUAACUACGUGCCAGCAGCCGCGGUAAUACGUAGGGGGCAAGCGUUAUCCGGAUUUACUGGGUGUAAAGGGAGCGUAGACGGUGCGGCAAGUCUGGAGUGAAAUCCCGGAGCUUAACUCCGGGACUGCUUUGGGAACUGGCGAACUAGAGUGCGGGAGGGGCAAGCGGAAUUCCUGGUGUAGCGGUGAAAUGCGUAGAUAUUAGGAGGAACACCGGUGGCGAAGGCGGCCUACUGGACCGCAACUGACGUUGAGGCCCGAAAGCGUGGGGAGCAAACAGGAUUAGAUACCCCAGUAGUC
rnacentral:rRNA from 1 species